rnacentral:rRNA from 1 species
CACGCCUCGGUAAUACAGAGGGUGGGAGCGUUAAUCGGAAUUACUGGGCGUAAAGCGUGCGUAGACGGUAGCGUAAGUCGGGUGUGGAAGCCCCGGGCUCAACCUGGGAAUUGCAUUGGAGACUGCUCGGCUAGGGUGCGGAAGAGGGAAGCGGAAUUUCAGGUCUAGCGGUGCAAUGCGUAGAUAUCUGAAGGCACACCAGUGCCGAAAUCGGCUUGAUGGUCCAGCACCGACGUUCAGGCACGAAAGCGUGGGGAGCACACAGGAUUAGAUACCCUGGUAGUCCACGCCAUAAACGAUGAGAACUAGACGUUGAGGGGGUAAGCCUCCCAGUGUCGAAGCAAACGCGAUAA